GGGCCACAUGGAGAAACCCUGUCUUAAAAAGAAACAAGUGCCUGAAUGUGGUGGGAGCAUGCCCUUCUCUCAUCCAGGGUUGAGGGUCUGCCUUACUGGUUCCUGUGCAACAGCUGGCCAGAAGGAGAUGGCAGCCUCUGCUGAGCCUCUGGUUCACUUUCCCAGGUUCUCCAGGGAGCGCUCAUUGAGAGAGGAAUCCUGGGAGUACAGGCGGAAUGAACGAGGGCCCACUGACUGGAGGCUGGAGAACUCCAAUGGCAAGACUGCAUCGCGGAGGUCGGAGGAGAAGGAGGCUGGCGAGAUCUGAAUCUGGUUCAGGCGCUGUAAAUAGUCUGACAAAAGUUCAGCACAGCCUAAAUUACCCUUUAUAUUUGCUGACUACAACUCAUCUUUUGUAGUUAAAAUUUCUAUUGUUUGGCCCUAGCUGUGAGUUUCUAGAUUGUUCAGAGCUGCUUCUGUGUUUGGGGUUAUGUUAUAUAGGAACAAAUAAAUCUGGCGGCUGCCUCCUG
rnacentral:lncRNA from 1 species